GACACGGCUGAGCGGUCCGCCGCAAGGCGAGUACUGCUCUGGCCGGGUCUUUCCUUCUGGAGAGCCAGUAUGCCCUUUAGUGGGUGUGUUGGGGAACCAGGACUUUUACUUUGAAAAAAUUAGAGUGUUUAAAGCGGGCUUAUGCUUGAAUACAUUAGCAUGGAAUAAUAGAAUAGGACU
rnacentral:rRNA from 1 species